GGAGAUGGAAUGGGCUUGGGGAGAGGCUUUAAUGGUACUUGAGAGAUGAAGCAGGGGAAUAUUGUUUGCAAAAAGCACCCAUGGUUGCCCACCAAAGCUGGUAUGAACAAGCUCCUGGCUCCACUGGUUCCCCUGUCAGCAGGCAUCAUCCGGUUAUGAGAAGUCAGAAGAAAGGUGGAGUUCGAUGAAGAGCAGCGUGGGACAUCUACGGACAUUAGCGAUGGUAAGAUUCACAGGUUUGCAUCAGCGCAAUCGGCAUAAAAAUUACCGAUGUAACUUGUGAACUCAAAAAGUCCAUCUGAUACAAGUUGAUUCGUUUUUAUAUUUGUUGCGGUAAAAAUAGAAUUUAUAUAGAAUUAUUAGUGGGUGUGCUUCAGUUUUAUUAUUUAGAAAGUGACCGAUAAUUUGUGAAACAUUUUUUUCCCGUUUCUCGAGCGCGUUCUCUCAAAGCUACGAAGACAGAGGCGUGUCCUAAAUCGCAUAGAAUACAGAUUAACAUGGCAGAGGUAGAGCUGUGACUUCCUGCAGACACAACAGGAAAAGAACGUCUGGUUUUAUUUCAUCUUGUUUGUUUUGUUUUUUGCACUACGAAGGCGUGUGAAAGGGUCAUGCGUUAGAAGUCAGAAAGCAUUUAAGUAAAUUGAUGAUUUGCCGUCUGUGUGAACCAAAGAAAUAAAAUCUCUGUACCACAUUGAAUUGCAGAGCAUCGUAUUUUUCUCACAUUGAAUAGCGUUGUGAUGAAUCGAAUCUAAAUCGUAUCACGUCAGUAGCUGCUUCAUAUGUAUCUUUAAUGGAUCGUAUCGUUGGCUGUGUAUCGAGAUGCAAAUUGCAUCGGCCUCAGGUAUGGAGAUGCACAUAUUGGACAUGUUCUUCUGGGACUGUCCAGUCUGAUUAGCUCAUAAACAGGUUAUAAUAUAAUAUAAUUGGGUCAUGGUCCACCUUUACCUGAGCUAAACAUACAUCUUUAUUCGGUCUACAUUUAAUAUGACCAACCUUCAAAAGUGCAUCGUAAAACAUGUCCUUGUGUACCAUUAACUUUGUGGAAGGACAUUUGAAACGCCUUUGUGCUGAAAAAGUCAUUGUAUAAAGAAGUAGCAAUAUGAAAAAUGCUCGUGUGUGAAGCGGAAUAUAAAGAAAUGAUUAUUGAGAGCAUAUUCUGAAAAGGUUGAUGAGUCUACCAUCUGCAAUAUAUCUACAAAUUUUCGCAAAAAAAAUAAA